AAUCCACUAUCCACAAACCACAGUCCUUACCAUGUCUGCUAGAAGAGUAGUAAGUUGGAUUCUGACCUGCAUAACCAGUAAAAUUAGCGCAGCUUGCCUCGUUUGCUGCAGGAUUUUGGUACUGCAUAUACUUGCAAUCUCAAGCUGGAUCAUACUUCCCCAGUCAACCCUUGCUGCCUCAUUCUUGUGUUCAGCUUUGCUCUCACAUUCAGGACUAGAAGACAUAUAAUCCUAUUCUUUAUAAGCCCUUGAGAGUAGAAUGAUAAAAGGAAAGGCGUGAAUCAGGAGAAUAAUGAAGGGGUCCAAAAAAGGAAAACCUCAAGUUGAGCAAAUCUCAGGAAACAAAGUUGAAGAAACAGGAGCAUGAAAAGGAGAAAGCAUUUUUAC
rnacentral:misc_RNA from 1 species